AGUGAACGCUGGCGGUAGGCCUAACACAUGCAAGUCGAACGGCAGCACAGUAAGAGCUUGCUCUUACGGGUGGCGAGUGGCGGACGGGUGAGGAAUACAUCGGAAUCUACUUUUUCGUGGGGGAUAACGUAGGGAAACUUACGCUAAUACCGCAUACGACCUCCGGGUGAAAGCAGGGGAUCUUGGGACCUUGCGCGAUUGAAUGAGCCGAUGUCGGAUUAGCUAGUUGGUGGGGUAAAGGCCCACCAAGGCGACGAUCCGUAGCUGGUCUGAGAGAGUGAUCAGCCACACUGGAACUGAGACACGGUCCAGACUCCUACGGGAGGCAGCAGUGGGGAAUAUUGGACAAUGGGCGCAAGCCUGAUCCAGCCAUACCGCGUGAGUGAAGAAGGCCUUCGGAUUGUAAAGCCCUUUUGUUGGGAAAGAAGAGCAGCAGGUUAAUACCCCGCUGUUCUGACGGUACCCAAAGAAUAAGCACCGGCUAACUUCGUG
rnacentral:rRNA from 1 species